rnacentral:rRNA from 1 species
AUACGUAGGGGGCGAGCGUUGUCCGGAAUGACUGGGCGUAAAGGGCGCGUAGACGGCUGUCUAAGUCUGGAGUGAAAGUCCUGCUUUCAAGGUGGGAAUUGCUUUGGAGACUGGAUGGCUUGAGUGCGGAAGAGGUAAGUGGAAUUCCCAGUGUAGCGGUGAAAUGCGUAGAGAUUGGGAGGAACACCAGUGGCGAAGGCGACUUACUGGGCCGUAACUGACGUUGAUGCGCGAAAGCGUGGGGAGCGAACAGGAUUAGAUACCCUGGUAGUCCACGCGGUAAACGAUGAGUGCUAGGUGUAGCGGGUAUCGACCCCUGCUGUGCCGGAGUUAACACAAUAAGCACUCCGCCUGGGGAGUACGGCCGCAAGGUUGAAACUCAAAUGAAUUGACGGGG